GCGGAGGAAAAGAAACCAACAGGGAUUGCCUCAGUAACGGCGAGUGAAGCGGCAACAGCUCAAAUUUGAAAUCUGGUCCCCUCUGGGGGCCCGAGUUGUAAUUUGAAGAGGAUGCUUUUGGCGAGGCGCCUUCCGAGUGCCCUGGAACGGGACGCCACAGAGGGUGAGAGCCCCGUAUGGUAGGACGCCGAGCCUCUGUAAAGCUCCUUCGACGAGUCGAGUAGUUUGGGAAUGCUGCUCAAAAUGGGAGGUAAACCCCUUCUAAAGCUAAAUAUUGGCCAGAGACCGAUAGCGCACAAGUAGAGUGAUCGAAAGAUGAAAAGCACUUUGAAAAGAGAGUUAAACAGCACGUGAAAUUGUUGAAAGGGAAGCGCUUGCGACCAGACUUGCGCCCGUCGGAUCAACCGUCCCUCGUGGGCGGCGCACUCCGGCGGGCUCAGGCCAGCAUCAGUUUUCCUGGGGGUAGAAAGGCGGUGGGAAUGUAGCUCUUCGGAGUGUUAUAGCCCGCCGCGUAAUGCCCUCGGGGGGACUGAGGACCGCGCGUAUGCAAGGAUGCUGGCGUAAUGGUCGUCAGCGACCCGUCUUGAAACACGGACCAAGGAGUCGUCCUAAUAUGCGAGUGUACGGGUGUAAAACCCCUGCGCGUAAUGAAAGUGAACGGAGGUGAGAGCUUCGGCGCAUCAUCGACCGAUCCUGAUGUUCUCGGAUGGAUUUGAGUAAGAGCAUAUUGGGCCGGACCCGAAAGAAGGUGAACUAUGCCUGUAUAGGGUGAAGCCAGAGGAAACUCUGGUGGAGGCUCGCAGCGGUUCUGACGUGCAAAUCGAUCGUCAAAUAUGGGCAUGGGGGCGAAAGACUAAUCGAACCUUCUAGUAGCUGGUUUCGCC
rnacentral:misc_RNA from 1 species